UCUCAUAAGAAACCAGUUGAAUUCGAGCUGCAAGCAGUAUACAAAGCAUAUUUCUAGGCUUAAGAGCUAAGUGUUGGCAUGCAGAAGAAGAGUUGGAAGAGAUUUGCACUCGAUGCCGCCAGGUGAGGCUCUGUCAGCUGCGGCAACACACGCUUUCAACACGCGCUGCGGACGCAAAACAAUAAGAACGCAAAAUGCGAAAUUAAUCCAAUGCCAAGCAAUCCAAAUCAAGCAGCAAGAGGACAGUAGACGUCGAGAGGCCAAAGGGCACACAUGGCCGUGGUCCCGGAAUAGGGAGGUGUUGAAAACAAAAGGAAAUACACACAGAAUAAAUGAAAAAAAAAUAAAAUAUGCUGAAAUUGAAUUUAAAUGAAAAGCGAAAGCAAAAUACAGCAAGAACAACAGGAACAAUAGCAAAAAUUAUAAUAAUAAACAAGAAGGAAGAGAGAAUACAAAAAAAUAUCACCCACUUCCGUUGCAGGUAGUUUUUGCACAGGUAGUCCCUAUUUUGCAUACACAGCGCGAGCGAGACAGCGAGAGUUUGUCAGCGAGGAUCACAUGCGCAUCCUGCGGAAGUGUGUGAAACUAGAGAUGACACACUAUGUGCCUAGCACGAGCAUGACCCAUAAGUUGUAGACACGCACGCGAACAUUUUGAAUAUAUAUUUACGUUUAUCUGACUGACAAUUACAGUCUGUAUAUACACAUUCAUACAUGUUUUUAUUCCAUUUAGUUGCUGUAAGUUUUGC